AGGUUACUGCUAUCGAGGUUCGACUAAGCCAUGCGAGUCGAAUGUAGCAAUACAUGGCGUACUGCUCAGUAACACGUGGACAACCUACCCUCCGGACGGGUAUAAACCCGGGAAACUGGGUAUAAUCCCCGAUAGAUCUCGGUCGCUGGAAAGCCCCGAGAUCGAAAGCUCCGGCGCCAGAGGAUGGGUCUGCGGCCUAUCAGGUAGUAGUGGGUGUAGCGUACCUACUAGCCUACGACGGGUACGGGUUGUGAGAGCAAGAGCCCGGAGAUGGAUUCUGAGACACGAAUCCAGGCCCUACGGGGUGCAGCAGGCGCGAAAACUUUACAAUGCCGGCAACGGCGAUAAGGGGACCUCGAGUGCCAGGUUACAAAUCUGGCUGUCGUGAUGCCUAAAAAGCAUUGCAUAGCAAGGGCCGGGCAAGACCGGUGCCAGCCGCCGCGGUAACACCGGCGGCUCGAGUGGUAACCGUUAUUAUUGGGUCUAAAGGGUCUGUAGCCGGCCGGAUAAGUCUCUUGAGAAAUCCAGCAGCUCAACUGUUGGGCUUUCAGGAGAUACUGUCUGGCUCGAGGCCGGGAGAGGUGAGAGGUACUUCAGGGGUAGGGGUGAAAUCUUGUAAUCCUUGAAGGACCACCAGUGGCGAAGGCGUCUCACCAGAACGGACCUGACGGCAAGGGACGAAAGCUAGGGGCACGAACCGGAUUAGAUACCCGGGUAGUCCUAGCCGUAAACGAUACUCGCUAGGUGUCGGCCACGGUGCGACCGUUGUCGGUGCCGUAGGGAAGCCGUGAAGCGAGCCACCUGGGAAGUACGGCCGCAAGGCUGAAAC
rnacentral:rRNA from 1 species